UUUUUACUUUUAAAUUUUUCUUAAUUAAUUUAAUUACAAAAAAAAUUUUGUUAAAUAUUAAUAAAAUAAAAUUUAUUUCAUUCUUUUACAUAAACUGCACCUUGGCCAAAAAACUUUCUUUUUUAAAGAAUUUGAAAUAUAUUUCUAUAUUUUAUAAAAAAAUAGAGAUAUACAAAUUGUUAUAUAAAUACAAAAAAAAGAAAGAUUUUGGUGUUAAAUCCUUUAUAGAAAAAAUUCCUCUAAUUAGUUUAAAAAUACCGCCAAUAAUUUUUAGUUUCAUGAUUUUCACUUACUACAAAAAAUUUUUUAAUAAAAAUAGUGGGGUAUCUAAUCCCAGUUUA
rnacentral:rRNA from 1 species